ACAGCAGUAGCCACGGUAAUACGUAGGUGGCAAGCGUUGUCCGGAAUUAUUGGGCGUAAAGGGCUCGCAGGCGGCUUCUUAAGUCUGAUGUGAAAGCCCCCGGCUCAACCGGGGAGGGUCAUUGGAAACUGGGUAACUUGAGUGCAGAAGAGGAGAGUGGAAUUCCACGUGUAGCGGUGAAACGCGUAGAGAUGUGGAGGAACACCAGUGGCGAAGGCGACUCUCUGGUCUGUAACUGACGCUGAGGAGCGAAAGCGUGGGGAGCGAACAGGAUUAGAUACCCCUGUAGUCCCUGUCUCUUAUAC
rnacentral:rRNA from 1 species